GGAGCUGAGCUACACACAGCUGGUUCUCAUGUUCCUCUUGUGGGAUGAGGGAGAGAUCAGAAAGGUAAAAGUGAGAAAACUCAUGGGUGGAGAUAAAGACAUUUUAACAGAGCACUGCUGUGGAGUUACAGAGUUAAAGCAGACAGCUCAGAGUGGAAGAGAGUUGGAGUUGGAGAGCUGGAGGUGGUAUUUCAAGAAAUCACAGAGGACUGAGCUCAGCCAGCAGCUGCAGAGCCCCUUUAUUUGGAUGAACUAGUUUAUAGGCAUUGAGUACUGCUUGCUAUAAAGGAAGAACUUUUCAGUGUCUCAUGCUCUGCCAGUGAAGAAGUGCAGAUGAAGCCAGUGUGGAACACAGCCAGUACCAGAAAAAGCCAAAGGGCUGUUACUUACCACAGAACGUCAUGUUCAGUAUAUAAACUGGGGGGAGCUGGCCAGGAAAAGCCAAUCACUGUUCAGGACAGGCUGGGCAUUGUCCAGAAGGUGGUAAGAAAUUCUAUUGUGCGUCACUUAUUUUGCUUCAUGUUUCUUUCUCUCUCUCUCUCUCUCUCUCUCUCUCCCUUUUUGCUUUUUUAUUUUCUUUGUUGUUGUUGUUGUUGUUGUUUUUGGGUUUGUUUUUGUUUGUUUUUUAACAGCUCUUAGCUAAGCACACAGGUUUUACUUUUUUCCUAUUGUCCUCCCCAUCCCACUAGGGUAGGGUAGUGAGCAAGCAACUUCUUGGUAUUUAGUUGACUGAUAGAGUUGAGUCAUGAACAUAUUUACUUUAUAGUAUACUAAUGCAUUUAAGAAUGAUAUUAAAUUUAAGAUUGUGAGCAAUCCUAGUCAUAAAGAAACGAGGUGAACCACUAAUAUGGUGCAUUUCAGAAACUAAUGGAUAUUAAUGGCUGAACUACUCACCCCAUGGUCUCUUCAGUAAAAGAAAAGAACUUGGUACUGCUGGCAUGCACUUCAACUAAGCAAAAGGAGAGGUCUGAAAUGGAUCUAAAAUUUCCAGUCACAAUAAAAGAUGAGCUCAGCUGUUAGCAUCUAAGAGUAAAUAUCCAGGGCAUAAUACAGUUUAAAACUCAAACACAUUUAGAUUUCUAUGUUAAAGUGUAUAAUUAUGUAUGAGCUGUCAAGGCUUACAUCAUAAACAAUGGAGAUAUAGUAAAUACAAUUGGUGGAUCCAAGAGCUAAUUAGUAAUAUGAUGUUUGUUUUAGGAUCUUUUUCAUAGAGAGCCAAACUGUUCUCCACAGCCUAUUGACUAAGCCUUUACUGUCUGAUAUGAAAGCUCAGAUAUGACUACUCACUGCCACACAGGUAGUUACAUACUCAGUACUUUAUCUCAGAUUGUAUCUUGCACCUUGCCAAAAGGUUCAGUUUCCUGAAGAUGGAGGUUUCAUGUCAUUAAAGCACCCUCAAAUCCAGGAAGAUACCUAGUGGGAUCUCAAAUGACACUAGACAUUUGGGUUUAGGCAAACUCUUAACUACAUGAAAAAUCUCUGUUUAUUAUUGAUGUCUGUAUAUUGUUGGACAAAGACUUCUAAAAUCAAAUAGUAUGAUGAGAAAUCUAAGUCUCAGUGGGUCUAGCCCAGACUAUGGGCUGUGGGAAGGGUUGAGGUGCAUAUCUCAGAACUAACUGUUCAGCAUUAUGAAAAUGGUUUUGUGUGUUUAUCUCUCUAUAUAUAUAUAUACAAAAUAAAUGGUGACUAUGCUUCUGCUGUCUGUAUACAAGAGACUGAAGAAAAUGAGUAACUAAAUUAAAGCUGUGUCAGGCAGCCACACACACAAAACCUAGCAUAUUAGGCUUUUUUUUUCCUCGUGUAUAUCACAGCAUAUCAUUUCCAUAUUUGAAAUGGGUUCGUAUCUCAUCAACCAAGUCAAACAUAUUUUAGCU